rnacentral:rRNA from 1 species
CCAAGGAGUGCAACACGCGUGCGAGUCUUUGGGUGAGAAACCCUGCGGCUGAAUGAAAGUGAAGGCGGGCUUUUGGCCCGCCGAGGCGAGAGUCUCCGUCGGUGGGGACGCAUCGUCGACCGAUCCCAGGUCACGCCGUGGCGGGAUUUGAGUGAGAGCGUGCCUGUUGCGACCCGAAAGAUGGUGAACUAUGCCCGAAUAGGGUGAAGCCAGAGGAAACUCUGGUGGAAGCUCGCAGCGAUUCUGACGUGCAAAUCGAUCGUGAAAUUUGGGUAUAGGGGCGAAAGACUAAUCGAACCAUCUAGUAGCUGGUUCCCUCCGAAGUUUCCCUCAGGAUAGCUGGAGCCCGGUGCAGUUUUAUCAGGUAAAGCGAAUGAUUAGAGGUCUUGGGGUUGAAACAACCUCAACCUAUUCUCAAACUUUAAAUGGGUAAGAAGCCCGGCUUGCUCGAGUGAAGUCGGGCACGGAAUGCCGGGGCUCCUAGUGGGCCAUUUUUGGUAAGCAGAACUGGCGAUGUGGGAUGAACCAAAUGCCGGGUUAAGGUGCCCGAAUCGACGCUCAUCAGAUACCAUGAAAGGU